GAGUAUAGGUUUUCUAUCUAUACAAAUUGUUCUUUGUACUAAUAGUAAAGACUAAAGACAAAUUCCAUUGGGCAGAUUAACAGUGGGUUGCGAGCAUAAUCUGUCAAAAUGACUAUCUGCAUAUAUUAAUGAUCUAUUACCUAUAUUUCAUGACCAUGGAAAUUACAAAGCGAAUAACUCAGGACAACAUAUUUAGCAUACAAGAAAUGUAUGCAACAGCCAAUCGAAUCUUGCUAUUUUGCGUUAAGACAGCCAAUAAGAAACAGUGAUUUUGCGUGUCUUUCGUCGAGUUAAUGAUAUUAAUGAGGCUUUGCGUCCCUAGAUGCAGGUCAACUAACAAAACCUAACAUUAAUUGGACCUGCAACAUUGUCAAUACUUUACUGUUCAAAACAUAAGAAAGCAAGCUCAUUUGUUAACGAAAUUUAAGAUUUCAAACUCUGCACAUAUAUAUUUAUCUACAUUUGCGAUAAGUCGGCAAGAUGGAUAUCAUGAAAGAUUGGUACGUCACUAACAUUACCAUGCAUGCCUACGCUCAUGAAAAUUGAAAAUCCGUUGAUGUACUAUCAUUUAACUGCAUGAUAUAUUUAAUCUACCAAAUACAUAUUUUACAAUUUCUGCUAAUAUCAUGGAUGCAUGAUUGGAUGUUCGAUCACAACACCGGUUAUAAGCACCUGAAUUGCAUUUUGGCCCUGCUAUUUCGAAUUAAACUAAUGAACAAGCUAUUUUUCUGAGAGUAAUGUCACACAACUCAGGAAAGUUCCACCAAUCAUAAUUGAAAUAAAAUAAGAGUGGUUAACAAAAUCUUAAUGAACACGUCUUAAUGAACACAUUUACAUUUAAAAAUAAAUAAAUAAAAUAAAUAAUUAUGUGCCUUGAUGGUGAGCUUUGUUUGUCGUGUUACCAACCCUCCAAUUAAGAAUUGUAAGAUAGAAGCUUUGUGGGGAAGCUGCUGGUUGUCUUGGCCCCAUCCAGGUUUCCUGUAUAUUCCAGGUUUUUUCUGGCCUCCCUGACUAUCCAGCUAUAGUAUGAGUGAUGGUAACGCUCAAAUAUAUGUCAAACUUUCAUCUGGCAGCAGCUGUCUUGCAACUCUAUCUGGGGUAUCAGCCACUUUGACAGAUGUGCUAACCGCUAAAGAACUAUCAAUGUUUCGGGGGGAGGGUUCGUCUAUGGGGAAUACACAUUCUGUGUAUUUGUGGGGAUGAAGUCUCCAUAAAAUGUCAACUUCAGGCCCAUAGACUCAAUAUAUGUCACACAUAAUAUAUCUAAAUCUAAGGACUGUCCAUGGAGGUUUACCCCCCAUGUUCAGGUUAAGGACUGGCCAUAUGGGUUUAGUGCCUUUGGUCAGGUUAAGGACUGUCCAUAGGGGUUUUGCGCUCCGAUUGGUCAGGGUAAGGACUGUCCAUAGACUCCAUACUGGGGUUUCGUGCUCCAGUUGGUCAGGUUAGGACUGUCCAAGUGAAUCUUGGUCAGAUUAUCAGCAGCCAGUUCAGAAUCUGUGCAGCUAAUAGGGUGUGACAUAUGAGUAGGCAUGAUGCUUGUCAUAUACUGUAAAUGGACUCUUCACAACCCCGAACCCCUCUCCCACAAAAAUAAAUAAUCGUGUUUAAUAUUGUGUUUGUCAAGAAAGUGGAGGAAAAAUCAACAACUUGAGUCAUUAAAGCAAAUUUAUAGCCUAUAUAAAUUUAAGUUAAUGAGACAAGGUGUGAUGGUAAGAUGAGGAGGUAGAUAUAGUUUAUAUCAACCUAAUCUUUGACAGUUAGGUCAAAGGUCUUGACAGAUAGGUCAAAGAUCAUCUUCUGCCAGCUAGCACACAUUCACGUGAACAAACCGUGAAACACACUGUGAACCAAUUGAAAACCUUGUACGACUCUGUUCUGGGCUUUGACCAAUCAUAGGGCACAACACAGCCCAUCCUAAUUGGCACAUAACAUGCACGAGUUCAUGCAAAAUAACGUAAUUUACUCUGAGAUGUCGACAGAGUAACAUUAUCGAAAGAUUUUCCCACCCACCCACCUAUCCUCUGCUUACCUUCACUGUACUCCAUUUUUAAAAUUUAAAAAAAAAAAAAAAGUUAAAGUUUUAAUGUUUAUAAUAUUAGGGAAUGCAGUAAUAACAUUCUUAUGUAUAUUGACAAUAUACCUGUUCCCAUGGAAAGAUAUAGAUAGAUAGACGUUUAUUUUUUAUCAGUGAAAAUGAAGCAAUCUGAUUGGCUGAGGAGCCUUUCAGAGCGGGCCGGUUUUUUGCAUCCGGCCCGCUCUGAAACGCAACUGCCCGCUGUGAAAUGCAACUGCCCGCUCUGGAUUUCGCGCCAAAAACCGAGGAGUGAAACAAUUUUUAAACGAAAAAAUCUGCCAAAAACGUUUGAAAAACAUAGCCUAAUGAUAGUCAGAAUACAAAAAUGAAUUGCAUCAAGCCAUAAAGAUUUCAUACUAAGCACGAUGUUCACCAGAAUUGACAAUAUUUUGAUAGAAAUGUGACUGAAAGUCGGAAAGUUUAUAUUUGACAUGAAUAAAACUUACGUCGAGAAAACUAUAUAUUUUUUAAAUGCUCAUGUAUUCGGCCACUUAAAAGCGAAAAAAUUACAGCUUAAACAGAAAUUGUAAAAUAAAUGUUUUCCCAUUUAAAAGAAGGUUUAACUGCAGCAGUAAAAACAAGUCACGAAUAUAUUCUCUACCCAUUUGUGUCAUGCAUUUUUCACUGAUAUAAAUAUUGUAAACAAAGUAAAAGUUUGUGUUUAAAAA